GCCGGUGGUGCUCAGUGGGUAGAGCAUCGGUCUGCGGACCGAAGGUCCCGGGUUCAAUUCCGGUCAAGGGCA
rfam:Myotis brandtii contig211144, whole genome shotgun sequence.